rnacentral:rRNA from 1 species
AAUCAACGCUGGCGGCGUGCCUCAGACAUGCAAGUCGAACGAUUAAAGCUCCCUUCGGGGAGUGCAUAGAGUGGCGCACGGGUGAGUAACACGUAAGUAAUCUACCCUCGAGUGGGGAAUAACGUCCGGAAACGGACGCUAAUACCGCAUAAUGCAGCGGCACCGCAAGGUGACAGUUGUUAAAGAUUUAUCGCUUGAGGAGGAGCUUGCGGCAGAUUAGCUAGUUGGUAAGGUAAUGGCUUACCAAGGCUACGAUCUGUAACCGGUCUAAGAGGACGGUCGGUCACACUGACACUGAAUAACGGGUCAGACUCCUACGGGAGGCAGCAGUCGGGAAUUUUGGGCAAUGGGCGAAAGCCUGACCCAGCAACGCCGCGUAAAGGAUGAAGUAUUUCGGUAUGUAAACUUCGAAAGAAUGGGAAGAAUCAAUGACGGUACCAUUUAUAAGGUCCGGCUAACUACGUGCCAGCAGCCGCAGUAAAAC